rnacentral:rRNA from 1 species
UACGUAGGGUGCAAGCGUUGUCCGGAAUUAUUGGGCGUAAAGAGCUCGUAGGCGGUUUGUCGCGUCUGCUGUGAAAACGCGGGGCUCAACUCCGCGCCUGCAGUGGGUACGGGCAGACUAGAGUGCAGUAGGGGAGACUGGAAUUCCUGGUGUAGCGGUGGAAUGCGCAGAUAUCAGGAGGAAUACCGGUGGCGAAGGCGGGUCUCUGGGCUGUAACUGACGCUGAGGCGCGAAAGCGUGGGGAGCAAACAGG